rnacentral:rRNA from 1 species
UACAGAGGGGGCAAGCGUUGUUCGGAAUUACUGGGCGUAAAGGGCGCGUAGGUGGCCUUCUAAGUCGAACGUGAAAUCCCUGGGCUCAACCCAGGAACUGCGUCCGAUACUGGAAGGCUUGAAUCCGGGAGAGGGAUGCGGAAUUCCAGGUGUAGCGGUGAAAUGCGUAGAUAUCUGGAGGAACACCGGUGGCGAAGGCGGCAUCCUGGACCGGCAUUGACGCUGAGGCGCGAAAGCCAGGGGAGCAAAGCGGG